rnacentral:rRNA from 1 species
UACGUAGGGGGGCUAGCGUUGUCCGGAAUCAUUGGGCAUAAAGCGCGUGUAGGCGGUCCGGUAAGUCCGCUGUGAAAGUCGAGGGCUCAACCCUCGAAUGCCGGUGGAUACUGUCGGGCUUGAGUACGGGAGAGGCGAGUGGAAUUCCCUGGUGUAGCGGUGGAAUGCGCAGAUAUCAGGAAGAACACCAACGGCGAAGGCAGCUCGCUGGGACGGAACUGACGCUAAGGCGCGAAAGCGUGGGGAGCGAACAGG